rnacentral:lncRNA from 1 species
AGAGGGAAACAGCCCCAGGUGGGUGCAUUCAGGUAGAGAAUUAAUGAUGGAGACAGCGUGAGGGUUGAUACCUCAGCAAGGCAAUGGUCUCCUCCAUGCGUGUGCAGCUCCUAUUGCUGCUGUUGAAUCAUCUCUGUAAGUGCAUGAGGGAUAUGAAACGUUGCCCAAAAUAUGUUGAGAAAACCCAGAUCCAGGAACCUAAGAAUGCUGCCAAGGAGUCACCAGGGCAAACCUCAGCGCUCUGCUUUGCACGAGGACAGCGGGCUGCCAGCAGUGCCCUGCUAUGGAGAGGCUGCCCUAUGGCCGAGCAACAGCACCGCAGCACUGAGAUGCUGAAGACAAAAUCACCACGAGCAGGAAAAAGCCUCCCCAGGACCUGGCAGGGCUGACUUUCUCCUGUUUCAAAGGCAGCGUGGGACAGAUGAGGGAGAUUUGCAUUCCCAGGCAAAUGGAAGUCCGGCUCCGCGCCCACCGAGGGAUGGGGCUGCUCCAAAGAGAUGGGAAAAGUCCUCUGCUCAGGGGCAAAACACAGCUGAGACCCGGGCUUGGCCUGCAAGGUGGCUAACGAGGCUCUCAUUGCCUCGAGAGGAGGAAAAAGCAGCACGGCGCAUUCACUGCAGGCUGACUCAUUUUUUCCCGUCUGAAAGACAAAGCGAACGUAAACCCAGCUCAGACUCGAGCUCCCAGGUUCGUUUAUUACCGGCUCAUUUGAGAAUAAAUAUUUUAUCCCUUUUUUUU